GGACCCCCAUGAUGUCCAGCACUGGGCUCUGAUCUCUGGUGAGGACAUGGUGCCCCCCCCCGGGACCUUUGACACCUGGGGUUCUGAGGGGUCC
rnacentral:snoRNA from 1 species